CGUCUCUGCUCGCACCUCCGCCUCUCUUUUUGGAGAGAGAAAAAAAAAAAAGAACGAGAAACAAAAAGAGAGAGAAAAAGAAAUAAUAAUAUUUUGGGCAAUUUUCUGAAAAUCCAGCCCGAAUCUGUAAAAUCGAAAAUGAUAGCUCAAUUUUGCAAAAGCUCAAAACUUGUGAAUUUUUAAUGCAAAUUAGCCUAAUUUUUACAAUAAAUGAAAAUCAUUGCAAAUCUUUGUUACAAUUUUUUCUUAAUAAGAAACAAUGAACAUUGUAUUAUCGCACCGACACAAAAUAUAUGGUACAAUAAAAUAUAUUCUAUAUUAAUUAAUUUUUGAUGUAAUUAAAUUGAUGUGAUAAAAUAAAAUUAUUGUAGCUAGUGAGAAUUAUGAGAAAGUAAAAGAGAGUGAUGUGAUGCUAGUGUUUUAGAUUACCAAAAUGUUUUGGAUAUCUGAAAAUGUGUGCAUGAUUAUUCUAUAUUAAUUUUGAGCGCACGUAAGAAAUGUUUAUGCACGUAAUAAUCUUAUUUCUUAAUCACCAGCAAAAUUAUUAGAAAUGUAUAUGAGUGAGGCGGUCCUGAAUAAGUGCCGCGAGUUGUUCUUAUAUUCUUAUUUAUAUAUCAAAAUUUUUUUCUAAAAAAACUAAAUCUACAAUCCAGUUUAGAUUGUAAUCUAUAUGUUAGAAAUAAUAGGUAGCGGAAACUUACAAACCAGAUAGCCAAUAUAUCCAGAAGCCCGAAUCGGAUCGGAUUACUUGUUUUAUAAGCCUUCUUGAAUCGUCCUUGUCUCGAUGCUUCUGGAUCUCUCACGUUUCUCGCCUUCUCCUUCGCAUACGCCUUACGCCACGGAUCGGAUGCGGAUCUGAUGCGACGGAUGCCGAUCGAAGAGGGCUACCAGAGUCCUCUUCUAUGUCCACACUCCAAAACCCCGAAAACGUAAGUGGAAAUCCCAGAGAGGAAGAAGAGAGAGAAUAAGGAAGAUAUUUCGUGAGUUCUUACGAAUUUGAUUGUAUUCGAUCGUCCUUUUUUUCGGGAGAGACAAGGGAACGUAUAUAUAGAAUAACAGAAUCCCUAAAUAUCCUGAAUCCCACAAAGAGAUUAGGAUAAGAACUAGAAUAUGAUAGAUAUCCUCUAAUAGAUAUGUUUCUUAACUGAUAAGAAACAUAUAAUUUAUUAUUAUCCUAAACCUAUUAGGAUAAGUCCUAAUCGACAUCCUAAGUGGAUCGGGUUAAAUUAAGACCCGCCAAUGUGGACACACCAUAUGGCUACACUAUAAAAAUUCUCCAUCCUACAGUCCAAACAAUCUCUCUAGAAUUUAUUCAGUGUUUUAAAUAUUUUUUAUAUAAAUACUACAACAGAAUUAAAUUAUAGAGACACAUGUUUGACAUAUUUUUGUGUAAGUGUCUUAUUUAUACCAAAAUUUUUUUAAAAAAUAUAUUAAGAUCUAAAUAUAAAGUCAAUCCAAUAAAAAAUAAAAGGUUAUUCUACUCAACCCAUCACACCCAGCCCAUUUGGCCCGAUUACAAACAGAAAAGAAGAAAAAAGAAAAAUCAAUUACCAUCUUUUCUUCUCUCUUCACUCAAUCCACUGAAAUUCUAGACGAAAAGCCUUUCACUCUCCUCCUCUGCCACCGCAGCCAACGAAAUAGAGUUCCGACGGUUACUGAAUACUAAAAUUAAUAUUGGUAAAUUAGCAGCACUUUUUUUAGAUUAUAUCGACACUCUUAAACUGUUAUUAUAUACCUAGCGACCCUACAUAUAGUAAAUUUUUUAAAAGUGUUGAUAAUUUAGCCACAGUAUUUUUUUUGAACUGUACCGAUAUUUAACAGUAUCGCUAUAUACCAUUUUUAUUAUAGUGAAACAAAUUAUAAAACUAGUGCAAAAU
rnacentral:lncRNA from 1 species